AACGCUAGCGGCAGGCUUAACACAUGCAAGUCGAGGGGUAGGAGCAGCUUGCUGCUUUGAGACCGGCGCACGGGUGCGUAACGCGUAUACAAUCUACCUUUUACAGAGGGAUAGCCCAGAGAAAUUUGGAUUAAUACCUCAUAGUAUUUUCGAAUCGCAUGAUUUGAUUAUUAAAGUUCCAACGGUAAAAGAUGAGUAUGCGUCCCAUUAGCUAGAUGGUAAGGUAACGGCUUACCAUGGCUACGAUGGGUAGGGGUCCUGAGAGGGAGAUCCCCACACUGGUACUGAGACACGGACCAGACUCCUACGGGAGGCAGCAGUGAGGAAUAUUGGACAAUGGGCGCAAGCCUGAUCCAGCCAUGCCGCGUGCAGGAAGAAGGUCCUAUGGAUUGUAAACUGCUUUUAUACAGGAAGAAACACCUCUACGUGUAGAGACUUGACGGUACUGUAUGAAUAAGGACCGGCUAACUCCGUGCC
rnacentral:rRNA from 1 species